AUUGAACGCUGGCGGCAGGCCUAACACAUGCAAGUCGAGCGAGCGGCGGACGGGUGAGUAAUGUAUGGGGACUGCCCGAUAGAGGGGGAAAACUACUGGAAACGGGAGAUAAUACCGCAUACUAUCGGAAAACCCAUAUGGGAGUAGCUAGGAGGUGAGGUAAUGGCUCACCUAGCCGACGAUCCCUAGCUGGUCUGAGAGGAUGAUCAGCCACCCUGGGACUGAGCCCCGGCCCAGACUCCUACGGAGGCAGCAGUGGGGAAUAUUGCACAAUUGGCGCAUGCCUGAUGCAGCCAUGCCGCGUGUAUGAAGAAGGCCCUAGGGUUGUAAAGUCCUUUCAGUCGGGAGGCGUUACCGACAGAAGAAGCACCGGCUAACUCCGUGCCAGCAGCCGCGGUAAUAC
rnacentral:rRNA from 1 species